ACUGUCCCAUGCCUACAACCGGCAUCAGUGCCUUCGAAGGAGUUACAACAAGCAAUGACGUUGCUGGGCAGGCUGACUCUGUAACAUGUGGCAUGGCCUGGGAGACUGACAGUGGAGGCGCAUUGGAAACUGGCAUCGGAAUCCCUCAGGAUGCCGCAGAAAUGGAGCGGGAACCUUUGAUGUGCAUCGGAAGUCCUGUGUCCUGAUGUGGCUGCAGUGCAGACGGCAUGAUGCGAUACCCGCAGAAAUGCUCAACGUGGCUUUGGCGUCACAAGUGAUAGCAGGCAUAACGUGGAAUGCCAGGAGGAACGGUUUCACAGUGGAUCAGCUGGGAAGCAGUGCAUUGCUUCUCCAACCGGGCAACCUCUCAGUGGGGGAGAAGACAAGGUCGACAUAGGAGGCUCCAUUUUAGUUGACAACUCCCGGUGGGUCACUGUUCUGUCCCAAAAAGAGGACAGUAUGUUCCUGAAGGAAGGAAUGGUUGCUAUUUGGGGCUCAGCGGUCCUAAAAAACAGGACUGUAACAGGAACGCUUUCCAACAAGGCUAAGGCAAAGGGGCAA